CAUUUAAAGAAAGCGUAAUAGCUCACUGGUCGAGUCGGCCUGCGCGGAAGAUGUAACGGGGCUAAACCAUGCACCGAAGCUGCGGCAGCGACACUAUGUGUUGUUGGGUAGGGGAGCGUUCUGUAAGCCUGCGAAGGUGUGCUGUGAGGCAUGCUGGAGGUAUCAGAAGUGCGAAUGCUGACAUAAGUAACGAUAAAGCGGGUGAAAAGCCCGCUCGCCGGAAGACCAAGGGUUCCUGUCCAACGUUAAUCGGGGCAGGGUGAGUCGACCCCUAAGGC
rnacentral:rRNA from 1 species